rnacentral:rRNA from 1 species
CGCCGGUAAGGUGAUAUGAACCGUUAUAACCGGCGAUACCCGAAUGGGGAAACCCAGUGUGAUUCGUCACACUAUCAUUAACUGAAUCCAUAGGUUAAUGAGGCGAACCGGGGGAACUGAAACAUCUAAGUACCCCGAGGAAAAGAAAUCAACCGAGAUUCCCCCAGUAGCGGCGAGCGAACGGGGAGGAGCCCAGAGCCUGAAUCAGCAUGUGUGUUAGUGGAAGCGUCUGGAAAGGCGCGCGAUACAGGGUGACAGCCCCGUACACAAAAGCGCAUGUGCUGUGAGCUCGAUGAGUAGGGCGGGACACGUGGUAUCCUGUCUGAAUAUGGGGGGACCAUCCUCCAAGGCUAAAUACUCCUGACUGACCGAUAGUGAACCAGUACCGUGAGGGAAAGGCGAAAAGAACCCCGGCGAGGGGAGUGAAAAAGAACCUGAAACCGUG